CUAAAAACGAAGCGAACAUCUUGAAGGAGAAAGACGAAAAAAAGGAGUAAAGCAAUUAAAACUUCGGUAAUUAGAUUCGUUAGAUCGUUCCAACAGCAUCCGAAGAACCGAAGUUCAGCUAAAACAAUGUUGGUGAAAAGCUUACUUUAUAGUUGAUGUAAAUGGUAUGUACCUAGGCUUAUAUAUAUAUAUAUAUAUAUAAUAUUAUAUCGUAAACUGAAUUUAAAUAUUUUUAUUAUGUUUUCUUAGCUAGUACUUUAUAACUAAUGUUUUGAUAAAAUAGUAAAGUGUAGAAAUCUAGUUUAUUGA